CCUGGUCUUCUUAAAUCAAACCAUGCUGGCCGUACCGGCUUGUGAUCAGCCCGCCUUGGAAGCCUUGCGAGUGGUAUGAUAGUUUCACCAAUCACCUCAUCUUUGUUUUGUGCUACACGGUCUUCUACUGAUAUGAUCAAGUCGUCCUCAAAAGGCUCUGCUGCGACAAACAUCAGCUCCUCAUUCCACAUGAAGUUUCUGGUUGGUGAGCGAACUUGCCUUGUCUUCAACAAUUGAUGGCCCAGUCUCACUUUUACCAGUACAUCAGGUAUGUGGUUCUCCAUUGGGUAUAUAUCAUGUGCCUCAAUUACAUUGACUCUCACAUACCACAUUCUUGGCGCAGGGUAAACCUUCCCACGGAUAUAAUUGUGAAGAUGGGAUUCAACUGGUGUUGACCCUGCAUGAAUGGCGCUUGG
rnacentral:lncRNA from 1 species